rnacentral:lncRNA from 1 species
GAUUUCUUAGGUGAUGAGAGCCUUUGCCUUUACUUACUUAUCACUGACUUACUCAUCCAUUUCCUCAAAGGCACUGUGAGAGUUCCCUGUGGCCAAGAACUGUGCCUUGCAUCUUGAAGCACUGAGAAGUCAAUUAAUGUUCCUGUGAAAAGACUGAAUGAUGAGUUGAAUGAUGGAAAAGGCAUAAGACUGGCACAAGCAGUUUUGGAGUCCAGCCAUCUUAACCAUUUUCAAGCCAACCCCCAAAGGGAGCCUUAUCUCCUUGAAAGCCUGGGCUGGAAUGAGAGGUCUCCAUGGAAUCCCAGGAGCCCACACUCAGUGCUGUGGUUUUUUUCUGAGAACUGGCUGCAAGGUAGUACUCUGAGGUGAAUCAUUGCUAAAUCCCAAGAGUCCACCGUUUGUCCCACUGCUCAGUUAUUGGUAUUUAGUGUGUGAAACCAUUCCCCUUCAGUCCAGUGAACAAUGACACCAUGUGAGAUGCCAGAGAGACAAAGAUAAAUCAGCCAUGAUUCAUGAGCUUUAGGAACUUACCAACACCUGGGAGAGCCAGCCACAAGAACAUUUUAUUCUCAUACAUCAUAUAGUCACGUGGCGUAGACACCUGGACAGUGUGGAAGCAGAGAUGAGAGGCACCUACCCAAGCCUGGGAGAAUGGAAAUGCCUUCCUGGAGGAUUAAUGGAUUCAACCAAUUCAUGAUUUCACCCAUUCACUAAAUAUUUAUCGGGCACCUCUUCUGUGCCAGGUGCUCAUAUUAGGGGAUGCAGUACUAAGGCAAAAUGCUCCUCUAUUUAGUGGGAGAGACGAAACACAUGCGUAAUUAUUCAAGUAGCAGUAUUGUGAAGAAUAUAACAAGGCAAAGUUCUAAAGAAUGAUAUGGGGUUAGGAUUUAUUUUUUACAUAUGUAUGUGUGUCUUUUAUUGAAGUAUAGUUGCUUUACAACGUUGUGUUAGUUUCUGAUGUAUGACAAUGUGAA